CGAUAGCUGCGACGAUCAAGAACGCAGAAAAGUCACCAAGCAGAAGAAGAAGAAGAAGAAGAAUUAGCACUCAAUCAGCAAAGAACAAGAAGAGGGAGAAGAAUUCGAUGACAGAAGGUUGAAGAAGAAGAAGGUCCGUACCUGUUUGAAGCGUCAAAUCAGGUUACAAUUAAGUUGUUGUGAGUUAUGUUGAGUCUGACUUCUGAUUUCACACCAAUCGCCGAGCCCCACUCUGCUGCUGUCGAACCUGCCACGUUGCUAUGUUUUAGAAUGGGAUUUCUAUGCAAAACGGAUGGAAGCGGCUUAUCAUAAAGAUGGUUGGUGAAGAUGAUGUUUAGGAACUUAGGUUAUAUGGCAGUGGUUAUAAAUUUGGAAUUGUAACUUGUUUGAAUGUAAAUGAAUAUUGUAAUGUGAAUUGAAGAUGAAUUUCAAUGUAGUUUUUCUUUUAUGUAGUCAUGGAUUUAUGGAAAUGGAAAUUGAAUGAAAAUGGUGGAAA